rnacentral:rRNA from 1 species
AGAGUUUGAUCCUGGCUCAGAAUCAACGCUGGCGGCGUGCCUCAGACAUGCAAGUCGAACGCGAAAGGCCCCUUCGGGGGCCGAGUAGAGUGGCGUCCGGGUGAGUAACACGUAGGUAAUCUACCUCUGGGUGGGGAAUAACGACCGGAAACGGUCGCUAAUACCGCAUAAUGCAGCGGCACCACAUGGUGACAGUUGUUAAAGCGGGGGAUCGCAAGACCUCGCGCCUAGAGAGGAGCCUGCGGCGGAUUAGCUAGUUGGCAGGGUAACGGCCUACCAAGGCAACGAUCCGUAGCCGGCCUGAGGGGGCGGUCGGCCACACUGGCACUGACACACGGGCCAGACUCCUACGGGAGGCAGCAGUCGGGAAUUUUGGGCAAUGGGCGAAAGCCUGACCCAGCAACGCCGCGUGAAGGAUGAAGCUUUUCGGAGUGUAAACUUCAUAAGAAUGGGACGAAUAAGGAGGGGCUAAUACCCCCUUUGAUGACGGUACCAUUUGUAAGCUCCGGCUAACUCCGUGCCAGCAGCCGCGGUAAUACGGGGGGAGCAAGCGUUGUUCGGAUUUACUGGGCGUAAAGGGCGCGUAGGCGGCGCAACAAGUCACUUGUGAAAUCUCCGGGCUUAACCCGGAGCGGCCAAGUGAUACUGUCGUGCUAGAGUGCGGAAGGGGCUACUGGAAUUCUCGGUGUAGCGGUGAAAUGCGUAGAUAUCGAGAGGAACACCUGCGGCGAAAGCGGGUAGCUGGGCCGACACUGACGCUGAGGCGCGAAAGCCAGGGGAGCGAACGGGAUUAGAUACCCCGGUAGUCCUGGCCUUAAACGAUGGAUGCUUGGUGUCCGGGGUUACAUAGUCCCCGGGUGCCGGCGCUAACGCAUUAAGCAUCCCGCCUGGGAGUACGGUCGCAGACUGAACUCAAGGAUUGAC